CUGCACAAAGAACACCCAAGUGUGAUUUGUAGCACCCUUGGCAUUUAUCUUGUGCUAGAGUGAUGCUGUUCUUUUUCCUCUGCGUCUGGUGAAAACUUGAUUUGCCGGGAUGUAUUCAGAUGAACAGUACAUGC